rnacentral:rRNA from 1 species
AUUGAACGCUGGCGGCAUGCCUUACACAUGCAAGUCGAACGGUAGAGUAGCAAUACUUGAGAGUGGCGAACGGGUGAGUAAUAUAUCGGAACGUGCCCAGUCGUGGGGGAUAACGUAGAGAAAUUUACGCUAAUACCGCAUACGAUCUAAGGAUGAAAGCGGGGGAUUCGCAAGAACCUCGCGCGAUUGGAGCGGCUGAUAUCAGAUUAGGUUGUUGGUGAGGUAAAAGCUCACCAAGCCGACGAUCUGUAGCUGGUCUGAGAGGACGACCAGCCACACUGGGACUGAGACACGGCCCAGACUCCUACGGGAGGCAGCAGUGGGGAAUUUUGGACAAUGGGCGCAAGCCUGAUCCAGCAAUGCCGCGUGCAGGAUGAAGGCCUUCGGGUUGUAAACUGCUUUUGUACGGAACGAAAAGGUUUCUAUUAAUACUAGGAGCUCAUGACGGUACCGUAAGAAUAAGCACCGGCUAACUACGUG